CCCUUAGAUGUCCGGGGCUGCACGCGCGCUACACUGAAGGAAUCAGCGUGCUAAAACCAUUGUCGAAAGGCAUUGGUAAACCCAUUAAAAUCCUACGUGAUUGGGAUCGGGAAUUGCAAUUAUUUCCCUUGAGCGAGGAAUUCCCAGUAAGUGUGGGUCAUAAGCUCGCGUUGAUUACGUCCCUGCCCUUUGUACACACCGCCCGUCGCUGCCCGGGACUGAGCCGUUUCGAGAAAAGCGGGGACUGCUGCUGUCGGGGCUUUCGGGCCUUGGCUUCGGUGGAAACCGCUUUAAUCGCAGUGGCUUGAACCGGGCAAAANUCGUAACA
rnacentral:rRNA from 1 species